AGCGAACGCUGGCGGCAUGCCUAACACAUGCAAGUCGCACGGGGGGGCUUCGGCCUCCCAGUGGCGGACGGGUGAGGAACGCGUAGGGACCUGUCGAGGGGUGGGGGAUAACCGCGGGAAACUGCGUCUAAUACCGCAUGACGCCGCGGCGUGACAGCCGGGGCCAAAGGCGAAAGCCGCCCGCCGAGGGGCCUGCGUCCGAUUAGCUGGUUGGCGGGGUAGCGGCCCACCAAGGCGUCGAUCGGUAGCUGGUCUGAGAGGGUGAUCAGCCACACCGGGACUGAGACACGGCCCGGACUCCUACGGGAGGCAGCAGUGGGGAAUAUUGGACAAUGGGCGCAAGCCUGAUCCAGCAAUGCCGCGUGGGUGAAGAAGGUCUUCGGAUUGUAAAGCCCUUUCGGCGGGGACGAUGGUGACGGUACCCGCAGAAGAAGCCCCGGCUAACUUCGUG
rnacentral:rRNA from 1 species